rnacentral:rRNA from 1 species
AGAGUUUGAUCAUGGCUCAGGACGAACGCUGGCGGCGUGCCUAAUACAUGCAAGUCGAACGGACUCUGGUAUUGAUUGGUGCUUGCAUCAUGAUUUACAUUUGAGUGAGUGGCGAACUGGUAAGUAACACGUGGGAAACCUGCCCAGAAGCGGGGGAUAACGCCUGGAAACAGAUGCUAAUACCGCAUAACAACUUGGACCGCAUGGUCCGAGCUUGAAAGAUGGCUUCGGCUAUCACUUUUGGAUGGACCUGCGGUGCAUUAGCUUGUUGGUGGGGUAACGGCCUACCAAGGCGAUGAUGCAUAGCCGAGUUGAGAGACUGAUCGGCCACAAUGGGACUGAGACACGGCCCAUACUCCUACGGGAGGCAGCAGUAGGGAAUCUUCCACAAUGGGCGCAAGCCUGAUGGAGCAACACCGCGUGAGUGAAGAAGGGUUUCGGCUCGUAAAGCUCUGUUGUUAAAGAAGAACACGUAUGAGAGUAACUGUUCAUACGUUGACGGUAUUUAACCAGAAAGUCACGGCUAACUACGUGCCAGCAGCCGCGGUAAUACGUAGGUGGCAAGCGUUAUCCGGAUUUAUUGGGCGUAAAGAGAGUGCAGGCGGUUUUCUAAGUCUGAUGUGAAAGCCUUCGGCUUAACCGGAGAAGUGCAUCGGAAACUGGAUAACUUGAGUGCAGAAGAGGGUAGUGGAACUCCAUGUGUAGCGGUGGAAUGCGUAGAUAUAUGGAAGAACACCAGUGGCGAAGGCGGCUACCUGGUCUGCAACUGACGCUGAGACUCGAAAGCAUGGGUAGCGAACAGGAUUAGAUACCCUGGUAGUCCAUGCCGUAAACGAUGAGUGCUAGGUGUUGGAGGGUUUCCGCCCUUCAGUGCCGGAGCUAACGCAUUAAGCACUCCGCUUGGGGAGUACGACCGCAAGGUUGAAACUCAAAGGAAUUGACGGGGGCCCGCACAAGCGGUGGAGCAUGUGGUUUAAUUCGAAGCUACGCGAAGAACCUUACCAGGUCUUGACAUCUUGCGCCAACCCUAGAGAUAGGGCGUUUCCUUCGGGAACGCAAUGACAGGUGGUGCAUGGUCGUCGUCAGCUCGUGUCGUGAGAUGUUGGGUUAAGUCCCGCAACGAGCGCAACCCUUGUUACUAGUUGCCAGCAUUAAGUUGGGCACUCUAGUGAGACUGCCGGUGACAAACCGGAGGAAGGUGGGGACGACGUCAGAUCAUCAUGCCCCUUAUGACCUGGGCUACACACGUGCUACAAUGGACGGUACAACGAGUCGCGAACUCGCGAGGGCAAGCAAAUCUCUUAAAACCGUUCUCAGUUCGGACUGCAGGCUGCAACUCGCCUGCACGAAGUCGGAAUCGCUAGUAAUCGCGGAUCAGCAUGCCGCGGUGAAUACGUUCCCGGGCCUUGUACACACCGCCCGUCACACCAUGAGAGUUUGUAACACCCAAAGUCGGUGGGGUAACCUUUUAGGAGCCAGCCGCCUAAGGUGGGACAGAUGAUUAGGGUGAAGUCGUAACAAGGUAACC